UAUAUAUAUAUAUAUAUAUUUUUUUUUUUUUUUUUUUUUUUUUUUUUUUUUUUUGUGGUACACGGGCCUCUCACUGUUGUGGUCUCUCCCGUUGCAGAUCACAGGCUCCGGACGCGCAGGCUCAGCGGCCAUGGCCCAUGGGCCCAGCCGCUCCACGGCAUAUGCGAUCUUCCCGGACCGGGGCACGAACCCGUGUCCCCUGCACCGGCAGGCGGACUCUCAACCACUGGGCCACCAGGGAAGCCCGGUUGUUUAUAUUCUUGAAAACUCCAUUAGAUAGUGAGAACUGAGCAGCUGAGAUUCUCUUAUGGGACUGUAUGUAGACAUUCCCCGGGUUCCGAUUCAGGAUUUCCAAGCUUUCUGGGGUGGAUGGGUAAAUAGAUGUAUCAGCUGGAGCUGAGAAGCAUUCUCUGAGCCAGCCUCAAGAUGUGAAGGAGACAGGGCUUAUUUCAUUUAUGAAACUGAAUCAUUCGUAGACUCAAGGACAAAAGUCUAACAAUGAAGAUGACUAACAUAAAAUUAUCACUGUCAGACUUACAUUAUAUCUGGAAGAACUGGAUUAUAAAAGCCAAGUCAUGUGUUGUCAAGGGCCUGAGGUUUGCAAGGAAAUUCUCUCAAAAAGGCCCAUGCAAAAAAUGUCCUGAAGUAGAAUCUGAGACCUGGUAGCACAAAAGUGCCUUGAAUGUGCUUAACUGGCAGGGUGAAGACCAGGGGACAGGGGCAGUCUCUAAAGUAGCCACAGCCCUUCAAUCACAUUCAGGAACUGGUGCUUCGAAAAAACAAACCACCGAAAAUAGUACAGAGAAAUGUCACAGCAAAUCAAGUUAAAACAUGGUAGCUGUAGCCACGUGAUUGAGUUCUGCCCAAAGGAAUGCAGAUACCAGGUGCGUAGUUCUUCUCCAGGCCCUGUUCUAACACCUCCCACAAAAUCCUCCACACCCUCUUUCUUCUCAUCAGUGGUUACUUACAGGAACCCGAAGAAGCACUUAAAGCUCUAGGGAAUUGUAGGCUCACGUCAGGGGUCAUUAAACUUUUUCUGUAAAGGGUCAGAUAAUAAAUAUUUUAGGGCUUUGAGGAUAUAUAAGGUUCCUGUUGCUGCUGCUACUGCUUCUCCAACCCUUUAAAAAUGUAAAAGCUCUUCUUAGCUUCUAGAAUUGGGCUGGGUUUGACUUGGGGGCUGUAGUUUGUCAGCCCCUUCACAGAUGAAAAGGUCUUAGAUUUCAGAAUGCCUAUGUAAAGCACAGCCCCCUCCCCCCUACUCCCCCCGCCUCCUGUGUCUGCAACUGACUCACUUGGAUUAUGAUGGGAAUGAUAACUUUUACUGUGUUUCGCUUUCUCUGAACUAUAGCUAUGAGACUUUCUAUCUCAAAUGCAAUAAAGAGAUAACUAUUUGGGGAACUUGAACAAAGUGGAGCUCCAAUUUCAAGAAGUCGAGGUCCAUUCACCCCCAAAUAGUCUUCUUUACUAAAAAUGUUGCUUAUUCUAGAAGUAUCUUGUUUGCUACGCUGCUUUGUCUAGUCCUUGUCUAGGGAACCAUCGUGAUCAAACAAAUCUGCCUAGGCCAGAGCAGACUGCUUUAAAAUCACAGCUUUAAAAUCCAGCAGAAGAAGUUUCCAAGUUGGAGGAGGAUCAAGAGGAGAAUCUGGAAGAGUAAACAAAGAAAGAAGAUGUGCGCUUCACCACAUAAAUUGAAUCUGCAAAGCAUAUGGAAACCUCAGGUGUAUCUGACUCAUAAUAUUAAUAUUUUCUCUAAGAUCUACAAUCUCCCUCCUUCUCUUCUCCACUUUUCUGAAAUAACCCACAUCUGUGAAGUUUCUUCUUUUUUUAUAUUUCUCAGUCCCUACUGAUGCACAGAACUCACUAGUAUCGACAAGCCCAGGCAACCUUUGGUAGCAAGUCAGGGUGGCGUAAUGAAAUGUUUGGGGAAAAAACUCCCCACCGCAGUCUGGUUCACUCAAACAGCUUGCCAAGAUGAUGCGGUUCUCAUGCAAAGAAAAAGUGCUCCUUCACCUGUACCAGCAAGUUGCUCCCCCUGAGACAGCAGACUGCAUUUGUUUUGACACUGACAAUAAGAGCAUGCCUUUGGGACAAUGGAUGGAAUCAGAGUUGAACUGAAGCCAACUCCAGUUUUUUAAGGAAAAAUUUUCAUGACACUUCCAGAUAAGAAAAUUGAGGCACAAAAGGAUUGAAUAACUUACGAGGAGUUAUCCACAGGAAGCGAGAAAGAGAGAGACUGUGGCGCCCCCUUGGUUGUCUGAGGACUUGAUCUACAUUAAUCUGUGUGCUGCCCGUGGGUCUAGAUGGUGAGCCCACCAUAACCGGAGACAUCUCACCUGUUAAGAAAUGCUGAUCCAGAGCUUAACUCAGGCAGCCUUGGGGUCACUAGGGCUGCACCCAGCACGCCCCUGGCACAUCACGCACACACCUCUUUGGACACUAACUGUUGCCAGCAAACAGCUCUGUAAGGACUUCGGAGGAGAUCGUGCCCUCCAGGUCUCUGGAAAAACUGGUAAAGGUCUCUGAGGACACAGAGGGCACUGCCUUCCCAGCACCAGGAGAAUCCUGCCCUACACCCUACAGUCCUUAUCUGCAAACUCAAAGCGUGGUGUUCAGACCCCCGUGGUUGUGGGCAGCAGCCUUCCCAGAGUCGGGACUACAGUCUGCUGCAGCUGCUCUCCUGGGUGUCUCACUGCUGCUCCUGCACUUCCACUCGAAGCUCCACUCUUUCCCUGACCCCUCAGGCCAGCUUGGACCCAAGUCCUGACAUGUCCACGUUCUCAGACUUUAUCCCUCCAAGUAUGCAUGAGUCAGGGCAGCUGGGAUCUCUGGAUCUUAAAACACCUCCUCCUGCACCACUCCCACCCCUACCGCCUGACCACACCUCCACCUUUGCCCCUGCUGGAUCUUGACCUCUGGCGCUCUCAGAGCAGCCAGCCAGCUUGAAGUCUGAGCUUUGGCCUGCGCCCUGUAAUUCAACCUUGUCUCCUCCUCAGACUUAAUGUUCCUACACUUGUUUUAUGAACUUACCCUCCAGCUCUGAGCUCUAGCUCUGCCUUGGCUGGCCUGUUACCUGAGCCACAGAGCCAGACUGGCAGAGUCCCUAAAGUCUCUUCAUGCCUAUUCCCCAGGUUUGCUGAAGCUAUUUCUGUGCUUCCAGAUUCCAAGGAAUCUCCAAAUAUAGGACAAAAGUGGAAACUAAGGGAAAGAGAGUUAAUAGGGAACACAUUGUCCCAGUAAAUUUCCGCUGUGAAUGCUGGAUGAGGAAUUACAGAAAGGCAGUUUUUACAUCACCAUUGACAAGUAUUCUUAAGGGAAGGUGAGGCUUGGGUGAUAGAAUGAGAUAGAUAUUCACUGGAAGUAGAACAAGCCUGAAUCGAAAGCUCAUCUCUUUUACUUGCCUCCUUUCAUAGAUAAGAAAAUGGAGGACCAAAAAUAUAAAUUGACUUGACCAAUAUCACUCUAGUUAAAAUAGAGCAAAGUUGGAACUAGAGUCUUGCUUCUUGGUUGGGUACGGUAUUCUCCACCUUCGUUCUUUCAACAAGCAUCCAUUGAGUAUCUACUCAAGGCCAUGUUAUUAGAAUUUACCAAUUCUUGGGUAUAUAAUAGGUGUUAGAAAGAUUCAAAAUAAAUAUAACAAAAAGAGCCAUUUUAAGGGACAUUGAUCUGGUGAAAAAAAAAAGUAAAUAUAUAUUAAGGAUUUUAAAGUAAUCCAAGGUUAUUUAUGCUUGUGUGGUAAUAGAAGUAUACAUAAUAAAUAAAUAGAAGUUUUCAUGGGAAUUCAGAAAGAAGAACCAUCAAAUUGGGCUGUGAGUCUCAAGGAAGACAUGUUGGAUGCUACAGAAAUUAAACUGGGAGACAAAAGUUAGGAUUUAGAACCUUUGAAAGGAGUGAGAAGGAUUUUUAAGUAGGAGAAACUGAAGAUUUUUGUUGGGAUUUAGAAGAAAAGGUUGUAUUGUUUGUGUGGGGACAGAUUAUAGAAAACCUUGGGAAAAACCCAUCAAAAGUGUUCAGGGGCUUCCCUGGUGGCGCAGUGGUUGAGAGUUCACCUGCCGAUGCAGGGGACACGGGCUCGUGCCCCGGUCCGGGAAGAUCCCACAUGCCGUGGAGCGGCUGGGCCCGUGAGCCAUGGCUGCUGAGCCUGUGCGUCCGGAGCCUGUGCUCUGCAAUGGGAGAGGCCAUAACAGUGAGAGGCCCACGCACCACAAAAAAAAAAAAAAAAAAAAAAAAAAAAAAAAAAAAAUCAAAAAUAAAAUAAAAUUCCAAAAAAAGCAAAAAAUAAUUAAAAUGGUUGUUAUAAUUUCAUCAGAGCAAAUGUCCAAUACCAUUAUAUCUGCCAUGAAGAUCAUUGUACUGCGAAAAUGAUUUUUUGUGAUAUUUAUAAGAAACUAAAAUCUAUUUUCAUUAGUUCCAGCUUUUAUUCCAUUAACUGAUAUUCCAUGUGAUGCUUAUUCCACAAGAGCCAAAGCAAAAAUGAUCUGUGCAGAAGACAUUGUUGUUAUUGUGUAAUUGUCUCCACUAAGGAUUAAAAUGCUCACUAUUUUACCUAUA